GACGAACCGAGCGAACGUUGUUCGGAAUCACUGGGCUUAAAGGGCGCGUAGGCGGGUGCUCAAGUCCGGGGUGAAAUCCUCCGGCUCAACCGGAGCAGUGCCUCGAAUACUGGCGGUCUCGAGGGAGGUAGGGGCGUGCGGAACUGUGGGUGGAGCGGUGAAAUGCGUUGAUAUCCACAGGAACUCCGGUGGCGAAGGCGGCACGCUGGACCUUUUCUGACGCUGAGGCGCGAAAGCCAGGGGAGCGAACGGG
rnacentral:rRNA from 1 species